UGGGGAAUAUUGGACAAUGGGGGCAACCCUGAUCCAGCCAUGCCGCGUGAGUGAAGAAGGCCUUAGGGUUGUAAAGCUCUUUCAGCGGGGAAGAUAAUGACGGUACCCGCAGAAGAAGCCCCGGCUAACUCCGUGCCAGCAGCCGCGGUAAGACGGAGGGGGCUAGCGUUGUUCGGAUUUACUGGGCGUAAAGCGCGCGUAGGCGGCUUGCCAAGUUGGGCGUGAAAGCCCGGGGCUCAACCCCGGAACUGCGCUCAAAACUGGCAGGCUAGAGACCGGGAGAGGAGAGUGGAAUUCCCAGUGUAGAGGUGAAAUUCGUAGAUAUUGGGAAGAACACCAGUGGCGAAGGCGGCUCUCUGGCCCGGUUCUGACGCUGAGGUGCGAAAGCGUGGGGAGCAAACAGG
rnacentral:rRNA from 1 species